UCCGAGUUUCCAGCUUGUCAAUGCUAGAUUCUGAUAGAUCGGAACAUUUUGAGUCUGGUGAUGGUGGUAUUUAUGUACAAGAAGGAUUGCUGGAGGUGAAGGUUUAUGAGGCAUGCAUUUUUUGGGCCUUAUCCUGGUGACAAAGAUGGAAAUUCCACCGAGUUUCUAGCUUGUCAAUGCUAGAUUCUGAUAGAUCGGAACAUUUUGAGUCUGGUGAUGGUGGUAUUUAUGUACAAGAAGGAUUGCUGGAGGUGAAGGUUUAUGAGGCAUGCAUUUUUUGGGCCUUAUCCUGGUGACAAAGAUGGAAAUUCC
rnacentral:misc_RNA from 1 species